rnacentral:rRNA from 1 species
AUCCACCUUCCGGUAACUCCGGUAUAGCCUUUCGAAAGAAAGAUUAAUCCCGGAUAGUAUGGUGAUUCCGCAUGGUUUUUCCAUUAAAGGAUUCCGGUUACCGAUGGGGAUGCGUUCCAUUAGGCAGUUGGCGGGGUAACGGCCCACCAAACCUACGAUGGAUAGGGGUUCUGAGAGGAAGGUCCCCCACAUUGGAACUGAGACACGGUCCAAACUCCUACGGGAGGCAGCAGUGAGGAAUAUUGGUCAAUGGGCGGAAGCCUGAACCAGCCAAGUAGCGUGAAGGAUGACUGCCCUAUGGGUUGUAAACUUCUUUUAUAAGGGAAUAAUUGCGGGUACGCGUACCCGUUUGCAUGUACCUUAUGAAUAAGGAUCGGCUAACUCCGUGCCAGCAGCCGCGGUAAUACGGAGGAUCCGAGCGUUAUCCGGAUUUAUUGGGUUUAAAGGGAGCGUAGGCGGGCGCUUAAGUCAGCUGUGAAAGUUUGGGGCUCAACCUUAAAAUUGCAGUUGAUACUGGGUGCCUUGAGUGCAGUAUAGGCAGGCGGAAUUCGUGGUGUAGCGGUGAAAUGCUUAGAUAUCACGAAGAACUCCUAUUGCGAAGGCAGCUUGCUGGAGUGUAACUGACGCUGAUGCUCGAAAGUGUGGGUAUCAAACAGGAUUAGAUACCCUGGUAGUCCACACAGUAAACGAUGAAUACUCGCUGUUUGCGAUAUACUGCAAGCGGCCAAGCGAAAGCGUUAAGUAUUCCACCUGGGGAGUACGCCGGCAACGGUGAAAC